rnacentral:rRNA from 1 species
CUACGGGGGGCAGCAGUGGGGAAUAUUGGACAAUGGGGGAAACCCUGAUCCAGCAAUGCCGCGUGUGUGAAGAAGGCCUGCGGGUUGUAAAGCACUUUCGGUUGGGAGGACUGCUUCUAGCACUAAUAUUGUUGGAAGUUGACGUUACCUUCAGAAGAAGCACCGGCUAACUCCGUGCCAGCAGCCGCGGUAAUACGGAGGGUGCAAGCGUGAAUCGGAAUUACUGGGCGUAAAGCGCGCGUAGGCGGCUAGAUCAGUCGGGUGUGAAAGCCCCGGGCUUAACCUGGGAACUGCAUCCGAUACUGUCUAGCUGGAGUACAGGAGAGGAGAGUGGAAUUCCACAUGUAGCGGUGAUAUGCGUAGAUAUGUGGAGGAACACCAAUGGCGAAGGCAGCUCUCUGGCCUGAUACUGACGCUGAGGUGCGAAAGCGUGGGGAGCAAACAGGAUUAGAUACCCCAGUAGUC